GACGUAGGGCGCGAGCGUUGUCCGGAUUUAUUGGGCGUAAAGAGCUCGUAGGCGACUUGUCGCGUCGUUCGUGAAAACCUGCAGCUCAACUGCAGGCUUGCGGUCGAUACGGGCAGACUAGAGUGUGGUAGGGGAGACUGGAAUUCCUGGUGUAGCGGUGAAAUGCGCAGAUAUCAGGAGGAACACCGAUGGCGAAGGCAGGUCUCUGGGCCACUACUGACGCUGAGAAGCGAAAGCAUGGGGAGCGAACAGG
rnacentral:rRNA from 1 species